rnacentral:rRNA from 1 species
UUUAAGCAUAUCACUCAGUGGAGGAAGAGAAAGCAACUGCGAUUGCUGCAGUAAUGGCGAAUGAACGGGCAAGCACAGCUGUCCCGAAGUGAAUCCCAACUGCACUUCUCGUGCAUUCGGCUCUUGUGGGUUUCAGCAGAUGCUGUGGGCAACGGACUGGAUGGCUAUGUCUUGGUCUGGCUGGGCACCAAGGAGCGACCUGGAAUGGUCCACAACAGAGGGUUACUGUCCCAUAUGGUGCUGUGUGCCUGGCCAGCCGGGUGUGGCUGUCCGGAUCCAGAAGUAGAGUGGCUUGGGACUGCAGUUUGAAGCGUGAUGUGUAUCCAUCACAAGGAAGCAUACUUGACAUGGGACCGAUAGCGCACAAGUAAAGUGAUCGAAGGAUGCAAAGGACUCUGCAAAGAGAGUUAAAAGUCCCUGAAGCCUCAGCAGGAACGGCGGAGAUUGAUGCUGUCAUUGUGGAUUACGAGGCCAUUUGGCCAGCUGAAGGUGGGUCUGCCUCUGCAAGCAUUCGAGCGAGGCUCCCCCUGCGGUUGCGCCUGGUCUCUCCUCGUCAACCAAGCAACCUUGGGCCAACCUCUGGGUUGAUCGCUGAGCCUUGCCCUCAAGGGUCGGAGGACUAUCGCGACAGCCUGUGGUGGCACCCUGUGUGUCAGGGCCUGAGGUUCUAGAUGCGAUUGUCACAGCGAUUGGAAUGGCAUUGAGGGGCCGCUGUCCGGGAAGGAUGCAGAGAGGCCCCCACUCGGGGUGCAUCGAGCCUGCCACCAAACAGGCACCGGGCGGUGGUCAUCUCCCAACAGAAUGAGAGUGUGCUGAGCCUGGUGUGUCUCCGGACAUGCCAGUGACCAUGCAGUAUCCUUGGUUUGGGGCUGGCGGACCCAUGGUGGCUGCACCACUCUGAUGGUGGCUCCUGUGGGACUGCUGGCCCUCCAGAUGGUGCAUGGGCCAGAUGGCAGCUGAGCUUGGUACAGCAGUGCCACUCUCUGCCCGUCUUGAAACACGGACCAAGGAGUCUAUGGAGCUUGCAGGUUUGAAGGUGUUAUCAGCAAACCACAGGGCGUGGUGAAGGCAAGUCAUCCCAGAUGGUGCAGAUUGGAGCCAAAGUCGAAGUGUGAGCACGGUGUGAGCGGAGAGGCCACCCCCCUGGCAUGUGGAAUGUCUGUGGCAGGUCCCGGGGUGCGACUCCUCCCUCCUCCGUCGCCACCAGAGGUUCAAGUUGCGAGAUUGCUGCAUGGGACACCGGUCUUGAUGUCCAGUGGACUGAGUUCUGAGUGAUUGCAAGGUCCAUGGGACCCGAAAGGUGGUGAACUAUACCAUUCUAUGGUGAAGCCGUGGGAAACUGCGGUGGAGGCCAGUCGCUGUUCUGACGUGCAAAUUGUGUAGCCUGAGCGUGGCAUAGGGGUGAAAGGCCAAUCGAGCCACCUAGUAGCUGGUUUCCCUCGAAGUUUCCCUCAGGAUAGCUGGGCUCAAAUGCAAAGUCAACACCAAGUGAUUCCGUCCGGUAAAGCAACGCAUGAGAGGCACCCCGGGCAGGCUUCCCUGCUCGACCUAUUCUCGAACUGUGAAUGGGCGUGGAAACACCCCAACAGGCAUGCUUCUUCACUAUGCUGGAGUCCGUCCCAGACGGUUCUCCUCGGCUUCUGAGCGUGUUUAUGGUGGCCCAGUCUGAUUGCGAGCCCUGAGUGCGGAGCAGGCAGAGGCGAGUCUGGCGGUGGGCAAUCUCUCUGUGAGGCCACAACCAGCCCGCCCCGUCCUGGCGGACCCUCCCACUCCGAUCUUUGUGAGUCGAGCCCAAGAGAUUGAUGUGCUGCCAAGUUGAACAGAUGUGCCUAUGUGGACCAAGAUUGGUAAGCAGUGCUGGUGAUGCGGGGUGCUCCGAGAGUGGAUUUACAGAACCCGAGUGCUGGCUCAUACCCAGAUCCCACAAAGGAUGUCGCCUGCUAGAGAUAGCAGGACGGUGGCCAUGAAGGUUGGAACCCGCUAAGGAAUGUGUAACAACUCACCUGCCGAAGCGUGCAGCUCCGAAAAUGGAUGGUGCCCAAGUCAGUGAAGCUAAAUUUGCCUUACAAUCCACCGCUGCUGUGGGCAGCCAAGCAGAGCAUCAGCCGUGUAGAAAGGACAUGGGAGAUUGCAGAUCAGGCCGGGGUUGCCCCCCGCCGGAGUGUCUUCUGGCGCAGAUCUUGGUUGUAGUAGCGAAUACUCCAUCGAAUGAAGAGCAGAACAAUCUUGCUGUGUGCGGUUGAGGACAGGAGUGGAGCAGGUUUCCACACCAACAUCCGUUGAAUGUGGGUCAGCCGGCCGUGAGCCAAGUGGUAAAUUCACUGAACAACCAAAGCUGCCGUUCCCUUGGGGACCUUCCAAGAGCGAAUUGAUUGCGUGCUGCAAAGCAGGAGAGGGCAAGAGGCUCUGCCCCAAAGGUGUCUGGCAGGAGUGGCAAACAGGCAAGCAAGUGCAACAUUCUGCUGUGAUGGGCUUGGAGCACCCCGGAUGGUGACCUCCUGUGACUUGGCAAGCAGGUUUCGGGGCAGUGCACCCCCUGUGGAGUUCUCGUUUCCUCCUGAUGCAGGCUCAUGUGGGCUAUCGAUCUCAUCUCAGGGUGGUGGUGUAGGCCCUCCGCCCAGCAAGGCAGUGUAUUCUCGGCACUGGUGGCAUAUGCGUUGCGAUCUGACGAACUGCAGGUUGAUAAGGGCCCCCCUCUCGGGGAGGUGUCCCGAAGGCCAAAACAGCUUCUUGAUGGGCCAACCAUGGCGGUCACUGGCUUCAAUGAAAGACCUGUGGGACAAUGUGCUCCUGGUCCCUUGUCUUCGUACUGAAUCACCGCAGCCGGUCUCCUCGGCUAGACGCCGCUUGUUGACGGACUGAAUGCAGCUAAGGGAAGUCGGCAAACUGGCCAUGUACCUUUGGAAGAUGUGGUGGCUCCAGAGGCCAAGUCAUGGGGCCCCGCUGUGGGCUGCGUGGAGUGGAGUGCCAGGUUGCUACCGUGGUGGCUUCGGCCAUCGUGGUGGCUCCUGCCUCUGCCAGCACAGCUCUGCGGCGGGGGGUCGUUCAGCCUUCGGGCUGUCUGUGCCCAUCCCUGUGUCUAUCAAGUGGCUCAUGUGGAACUGUUGCUGUGCAGGGGAAUCUGACUGUUUAAUUGAAACACAGCUUUGUGAUGGGACCAGCUGGCUGGUUCCAUGAGGUGACUUCUGCCCAGUGCUCUGAUUGUCAAUGCGAAGAGAUUCAGCCAAGCGCGGGUAAACGGCGGGAGUAACUAUGACUCUCUUAAGGUAGCCAAAUGCCUCGUCAACCAAUUAUUGACGCGCAUGAAUGGAUCAACGAGAUUCCUGCUGUCCCUAGUUGCUGUCUGGUGAACCAACAGCCAAGGGAACGGGCUUGGAUGUGUCAGCGGGGAAAGAA